AGGGCACCACCAGGAGUGGAGCCUGCGGCUUAAUUUGACUCAACACGGGAAAACUCACCAGGUCCAGACACAAGAAGGAUUUACAGUUUGAUAGCGCUUUAAUGAUUUUGUGGGUGGUGGUGCAUGGCCGUUCUUAGUUGGUGGAGUGAUUUGUCUGCUUAAUUGCGAUAACGAACGAGACCUUAACCUGCUAAAUAGUUUGUUCAACUUUAUGUUGUGAUGCAAGCUUCUUAGAGGGACUAUCUAUGUCAAAUAGAUGGAAGUAUGAGGCA
rnacentral:rRNA from 1 species